UGCUCCGCUCCAUCGCAUGGUGGGGUGGGAAAUGCUUUUGCGGCAUGGGAUGGGGUCGCGUCCUAUCAGCUUGUUGGCGGGGUGAUGGCCCACCAAGGCGUUGACGGGUAGCCGGCCUGAGAGGGUGACCGGCCACAUUGGGACCGAGAUACGGCCCAGACUCCUACGGGAGGCAGCAGUGGGGAAUAUUGCACAAUGGGCGCAAGCCUGAUGCAGCGACGCCGCGUGCGGGAUGGGGGCCUUCGGGUUGUAAACCGCUUUUGUUCAAGGGCAAGGCACGGUUUCGGCCGUGUUGAGUGGAUUGUUCGAAUAAGCACCGGCUAACUACGUGCCAGCAGCCGCGGUAAUACGUAGGGUGCAAGCGUUAUCCGGAAUUAUUGGGCGUAAAGGGCUCGUAGGCGGUUCGUCGCGUCCGGUGUGAAAGUCCAUCGCUUAACGGUGGAUCCGCGCCGGGUACGGGCGGGCUUGAGUGCGGUAGGGGAGUCUGGAAUUCCCGGUGUAACGGUGGAAUGUGUAGAUAUCGGGAAGAACACCAAUGGCGAAGGCAGGUCUCUGGGCCGUUACUGACGCUGAGGAGCGAAAGCGUGGGGAGCGAACAGGAUUAGAUACCCUGGUAGUCCACGCCGUAAACGUUGGGCGCUAGAUGUAGGGACCUUUCCACGGUUUCUGUGUCGUAGCUAACGCAUUAAGCGCCCCGCCUGGGGAGUACGGCCGCAAGGCUAAAACUCAAAGGAAUUGACGGGGGCCCGCACAAGCGGCGGAGCAUGCGGAUUAAUUCGAUGCAACGCGAAGAACCUUACCAAGGCUUGACAUACACCGGAAACGGCCAGAGAUGGUCGCCCCCUUGUGGUCGGUGUACAGGUGGUGCAUGGUUGUCGUCAGCUCGUGUCGUGAGAUGUUGGGUUAAGUCCCGCAACGAGCGCAACCCUCGUUCUAUGUUGCCAGCGCGUUAUGGCGGGGACUCAUAGGAGACUGCCGGGGUCAACUCGGAGGAAGGUGGGGAUGACGUCAAAUCAUCAUGCCCCUUAUGUCUUGGGCUUCACGCAUGCUACAAUGGCCGGUACAAAGGGCUGCGAUACCGUAAGGUGGAGCGAAUCCCAAAAAGCCGGUCUCAGUUCGGAUUGAGGUCUGCAACUCGACCUCAUGAAGUCGGAGUCGCUAGUAAUCGCAGAUCAGCAACGC
rnacentral:rRNA from 1 species